rnacentral:rRNA from 1 species
AUUGAACGCUGGCGGCAUGCCUUACACAUGCAAGUCGAACGAGUGGCGAACGGGUGAGUAAUACAUCGGAACGUGUCCAGUAGUGGGGGAUAGCCCGGCGAAAGCCGGAUUAAUACCGCAUACUAUUGGGGCGGCCGAUGGCGGAUUAGCUAGUUGGUGGGGUAAAGGCUCACCAAGGCGACGAUCCGUAGCUGGUCUGAGAGGACGACCAGCCACACUGGGACUGAGACACGGCCCAGACUCCUACGGUAGGCAGCAGUGGGGAAUGUUGGACAAUGGGGGCAACCCUGAUCCAGCAAUGCCGCGUGUGUGAAGAAGGCCUUCGGGUUGUAAAGCACUUUUGUCCGGAAAGCGGUACCGGAAGAAUAAGCACCGGCUAACUACGUGCCAGCAGCCGCGGUAAUAC